UGGGGAAUUUUGGACAAUGGGCGAAAGCCUGAUCCAGCAAUGCCGCGUGUGUGAAGAAGGCCUUCGGGUUGUAAAGCACUUUUGUCCGGAAAGAAAUCCUUGGCUCUAAUACAGUCGGGGGAUGACGGUACCGGAAGAAUAAGCACCGGCUAACUACGUGCCAGCAGCCGCGGUAAUACGUAGGGUGCAAGCGUUAAUCGGAAUUACUGGGCGUAAAGCGUGCGCAGGCGGUUUACUAAGACCGAUGUGAAAUCCCCGGGCUCAACCUGGGAACUGCAUUGGUGACUGGCAGGCUAGGGUAUGGCAGAGGGGGGUAGAAUUCCACGUGUAGCAGUGAAAUGCGUAGAGAUGUGGAGGAAUACCGAUGGCGAAGGGCAGCCCCCUGGGCCAAUACUGACGCUCAUGCACGAAAGCGUGGGGAGCAAACAGGAUUAGAUACCCUGGUAGUCCACGCCCUAAACGAUGUCAACUAGUUGUUGGGGAUUCAUUUCCUUAGUAACGUAGCUAACGCGUGAAGUUGACCGCCUGGGGAGUACGGUCGCAAGAUUAAAACUCAAAGGAAUUGACGGGGUCA
rnacentral:rRNA from 1 species